rnacentral:lncRNA from 1 species
UGUGGUCGUGCACUCUAACAACCCAGAUUAGAGUCCCAUCUUGCUCGAAUUUGGGUGCCGAUUCUUCUUUUUAAUAAAAAAUCGCUUAGCUCUUCCUAGGUUGAUCUAAUUUUUGUUUUCUGAGUAGCGCCCAGUAGGUCCAGAUUCGACUUUUUGUGGGAGCGAAUUAAACGGGUUUGAAAUAAAAAAAUAGGUAGGGACUUCCCCUGUUGACUUCGGUCAAAAAAAUCGAUGAUACACGUAAACUUAACAAUAAUGAUAUGAUUUUGUAUGCCAAGAUCCGGUAGAAAAUGAUAGAAUUACAAAAUCAACUUUG